rnacentral:rRNA from 1 species
UACGUAGGGGGCUAGCGUUGUCCGGAAUCAUUGGGCGUAAAGAGCGUGUAGGCGGUCCGGUAAGUCCGCUGUGAAAGUCGGGGGCUCAACCCUCGAAUGCCGGUGGAUACUGUCGGGCUAGAGUGCGGAAGAGGCGAGUGGAAUUCCUGGUGUAGCGGUGAAAUGCGCAGAUAUCAGGAGGAACACCUAUUGCGAAGGCAGCUCGCUGGGACGUAACUGACGCUGAGACGCGAAAGCGUGGGGAGCAAACCGG